rnacentral:rRNA from 1 species
GGGGACGUGGCGGCGUGCUAUACAUGCAGUCGAACGCUUCUUUUUCCACCGGAGCUUGCUCCACCGGAAAAAGAGGAGUGGCGAACGGGUGAGUAACACGUGGGUAACCUGCCCAUCAGAAGGGGAUAACACUUGGAAACAGGUGCUAAUACCGUAUAACAAUCGAAACCGCAUGGUUUUGAUUUGAAAGGCGCUUUCGGGUGUCGCUGAUGGAUGGACCCGCGGUGCAUUAGCUAGUUGGUGAGGUAACGGCUCACCAAGGCCACGAUGCAUAGCCGACCUGAGAGGGUGAUCGGCCACAUUGGGACUGAGACACGGCCCAAACUCCUACGGGAGGCAGCAGUAGGGAAUCUUCGGCAAUGGACGAAAGUCUGACCGAGCAACGCCGCGUGAGUGAAGAAGGUUUUCGGAUCGUAAAACUCUGUUGUUAGAGAAGAACAAGGAUGAGAGUAACUGUUCAUCCCUUGACGGUAUCUAACCAGAAAGCCACGGCUAACUACGUGCCAGCAGCCGCGGUAAUACGUAGGUGGCAAGCGUUGUCCGGAUUUAUUGGGCGUAAAGCGAGCGCAGGCGGUUUCUUAAGUCUGAUGUGAAAGCCCCCGGCUCAACCGGGGAGGGUCAUUGGAAACUGGGAGACUUGAGUGCAGAAGAGGAGAGUGGAAUUCCAUGUGUAGCGGUGAAAUGCGUAGAUAUAUGGAGGAACACCAGUGGCGAAGGCGGCUCUCUGGUCUGUAACUGACGCUGAGGCUCGAAAGCGUGGGGAGCAAACAGGAUUAGAUACCCUGGUAGUCCACGCCGUAAACGAUGAGUGCUAAGUGUUGGAGGGUUUCCGCCCUUCAGUGCUGCAGCUAACGCAUUAAGCACUCCGCCUGGGGAGUACGACCGCAAGGUUGAAACUCAAAGGAAUUGACGGGGGCCCGCACAAGCGGUGGAGCAUGUGGUUUAAUUCGAAGCAACGCGAAGAACCUUACCAGGUCUUGACAUCCUUUGAC